GCCGCCAUUUCGCGAGCUUUGGCUUGAGGGUGGUCUGACUGCAGUCUCAGGAGUGUAGUGUGACUCCAACGGCUCGCCGUCUCGCAAGUUCCAUUAACUGUAUCAGCACUUUGGCCAUCACCACCCAGCACACCCACGGUCCUGUAUGCCUACCCCUAUCAUUGGCAGCCCCAACACUAACAUAGAGUUGAGAAGGAGUUUCCCAAAGGAAUCUGAAGAAAGAAGAAUAAACCUGGGUCCAUAGCAGAGGAUGGGGAAAGCUAUGUAAACGACAAAGAGCUGGAACUCCCUAAAUCCCCAGCCGUCUUAUACUUGACAGGAAGAUAAUAAGCUCCUUCAUUUUCUCAAUGUAAAAACCUUCCAGGUUGUGACUGCCAUAAGUACAAUGGAUAAUUUACUAUGGAUACAUCACACUUGAUUACAUUAUCUGAUUAUAUAGAGCACAAACGCUCUCAAACUUAACAUCCCCAGACAUUUUCCCAAGAUAGAGCUAGUGAGACCAUAAGUUACUUUGCCUUUAAUUCUCAUGUACUUCAUGUGCAUGAGUUUGGUUGUUUUUGUUUUCAUUAUAAUACCACUUUCAAAUGGUGGGGCUCCCAUUGCCGGGACAACCAAAAGUAGUCAUGAGGCUUUACCAAAACCUUAAUCCUUGGUAGGUAGUAUCCUUAGCUUUCUUACUCCUUGGGUUGAAAAAAUGCAAAACAUUCUUUACUUCUGUUGGGUUUCCCAUUUUGUCUAACUUUCCUCAAAGUUUCUAUGUAUACACUUCUUGAAUUUACUAAUCAAGCUCAUUUUAUUUCUACCUACCUUGAUAAAAACCAAUCUUUAAUACACUAGGUUCCCUUUAAAUUUGUACAGUUUUACUCAGUAUUUUAAACACUAAACUUGUACAUGAAUUACUUUUUUGUGUUUAGGAAAGACAUGAAAAUCUUCAUGUAAGAACUUCUAGAUAGGUGAAUGAAUCACUGUCCCCCAAUUUCUAACAAAAUAACUAACAACUACAACAACAGAAACAAUAAAAAAAAAUCACCAUCAACAACCACAGAGAAGGACCUAACCAUAAACUUUAAAUACGGGCUGACAAUAAAGGAAACUGAAAAAUUCUGGAGCAUGGCGUAGGGCUAUAGUU